rnacentral:rRNA from 1 species
UACAGAGGGGGCGAGCGUUGUUCGGAAUUACUGGGCGUAAAGGGCGCGUAGGCGGCCCGCUAAGUCGAACGUGAAAUCCCCAGGCUCAACCUGGGAACUGCGUCCGAUACUGGCAGGCUUGAAUCCGGGAGAGGGAUGUGGAAUUCCAGGUGUAGCGGUGAAAUGCGUAGAUAUCUGGAGGAACACCGGUGGCGAAGGCGGCACCCUGGACCGGUAUUGACGCUGAGGCGCGAAAGCGUGGGGAGCAAACAGG